AUUGAACGCUGGCGGCAGGCCUAACACAUGCAUGUCGAGCGGGGUUUUCGGACCUAGCGGCGGACGGGUGAGUAAUGCGUAGGAAGCUACCCGAUAGAGGGGGAUACCAGUUGGAAACGACUGUUAAUACCGCAUAAUGUCUACGGACCAAAGUGUGGGACCCUCGGGCCACAUGCUAUCGGAUGCGCCUACGUGGGAUUAGCUAGUUGGUGAGGUAAUGGCUCACCAAGGCGACGAUCCCUAGCUGGUUUGAGAGGAUGAUCAGCCACACUGGAACUGAGACACGGUCCAGACUCCUACGGGAGGCAGCAGUGGGGAAUAUUGGACAAUGGGCGCAAGCCUGAUCCAGCCAUGCCGCGUGUGUGAAGAAGGCCUUCGGGUUGUAAAGCACUUUCAGUGGGGAGGAAGCGUUGUGUGUUAAUAGUACACAGCGUUGACGUUACCUACAGAAGAAGCACCGGCUAACUCUGUGCCAGCCGCCGCGGUAACAC
rnacentral:rRNA from 1 species